CUGCGGCAGCGGCUCUGCCUCGCCCCGUCUCGCAGCGUGAGCCGCUCGCAGAAGGGCAGGAGAAGGGGCGCUCACCUGGGGCAGGAGUGUGUAAGGACUGUUUGCAGCAAGAAAUCCAGAGUGAGGGAACCAUGCUUAUGACAAGUGAAUGGUGUGGCUUGGAGAAAUUUAUGAGUGUAUCGUUCUACAAGAUUUUCAUAAAGCUACAUAGAGUACUUAUUCUCCUGAACACUUUGUGGGGCUACAGGUAGGUGCUACAACAAGUAUGUCAUUUUGUAACUGACCAUACCAUCUGUCCAUUAUAAAGCAGGAGCUCUUAUACAAAAUAUAUGCCUUAUUAUAGUACCUUUCUGAAAUCCUGAUACAGAACUGUUCACAAUCUGCCUGCUAUAUGUAAACUAUUUCCACACACACAUUCCCUUUCUCCCAAAGACAUGUAUCAUUAUGGAGAGGCAGCAGCUCUGCAUGGUUCAGGUUGUAACAAGCUUUCAUUAUAAACUCUUAGUUUAUCAUGCCUAUAAUUUUGGGGAUGUGUUUGGGCCCAAAAUUUCCACAUUUACUCUGAAGGCAAAAGACUUCUGCAAGCAGGAAGAAAAUCUGUCGAACUAUUUUUGAUUUAUAGGUCGCAAAGAAAUUGCCCUGAAUUUGAAAUGCUGACUUUCAGCUGACAUUCUUUGUCUUCCUCUUUCUGAGAAAUAGCUUGUUACUACCUUUUCAACCUUUCCAAAUAGUUAAAUCUCCUGGGAAAAUUCAUGCAGUUCUUUAUACUUAAUAAGAAUGUGUUUGCUUAUUAUGUGGACAUUAUAAGAUUUAUUUAAGGACUUGAGUUUUGUAAAUUAUGUGAUAAAUACAAUGUUUACCAUUUAUUUAGAAACUUGAACUGGUGUUUGAAAUGGUAAGUGAAGUCUUGAUCCCACUGAAGUGAAUGGCAAAACUCCAACUAUCUUCAAUAGGGUCAGGAUUUCACCCUAGGAUUUUUGCUUUUGAAUUGGUAAUAGGCCCACUUUUAUAAUAGUGUCUAACCAAUUUUCAUACCAAACUAAUUAAAAAGUAUUGCUAAAUCAAUGCAAACUAAUUCAGAAAGCACUGCAUUCAAACAGAUGCUUUUUCGGUAAUAUGACUUAAAACCUUUAAUUUUGGAUUAACAGAUGUACAAUGAAUGGUGAGUAUAUUCUGAAAAGGAAAUAACCAAAAUAACAUUUCAGUUGUAAUAAUACUUUGUUUUUUUUCUUUUCCCCCACAGUAUAAAAGGAAAUUUCUUGAUGAACCAAAUCCAAAAUUAUGUCCAUUCUCUAGUGGAAUCUACUCAAACAGAUUCAAUGUUUGUAUGGUUUAUGAGAUUCAAGGGACAAACCCUAAUUCAAACAGACAAAAGUAAGUGUGAAAAUGCGGUACUGAAAAUUGUUAAUACAUCCCAGCUUUCAGAGGAACAUCUUUACCAUUAAUAUGCAUUGUUAAUUCAAAAAUAUAACUUUUUUUGCUUAAUAUGAACCAACAACACAGAACUCAAGCAUUAAAUACAAUUUUGUUGACCCAGUCAAAAUUACAAGACAUACAAAAUUAUUAAGACUUUAAAGGCUUUAAGUGCAGACAGCAAGUAUUGCUCAGAUCAGUCUCAUUGUUUGCGCUAUUGAACCACUUCCAGUGAUGCAAAACAUGCAAAACUAUGACACAUGAUGCUACAGAAUCUGCUGAAUUGCUCC